AUUACUGAUAAAGUGUUAAAACUUAGAUGAGAUGUUGGUGUUUUAUGGCUCACGAAUUCGCAAUAACGGAUACGUAUAGGAGUUCGUGUUAAUGACAUUAAUCCAAACUUAUUGAUGACGUGAUAACAUGGGCGUCGAAUCUCAUAUUAAUCAUGCUGAGGUUUUCUCGACGGGGUAAUGUGUUUAAAUGCAGUUAUAAAAUUAAAAGGGACAAGAUAGUCGACGUGACCCUCAUGUUUCCAUGGCAAUGAGUCAAUUACAUGUUACGCUUAUGAUCGCACCUGCGGUCAUUCGCGCAGUAUCCAUGAUUUUAAGCGGCAUGAAACACUUAAGUUAACUCCUUUGUACGAAAAUGUCAUGUCGUAGCCCUUCAAAUUAGAAAAGUGAGGAUGAUCUUGUCAAUGCUGAGAUUUUCAUGCAUCAGCAGCCACUACAUCUGGAUCAGAUUGAACAAGAAACAGACAGCAAGGGUUGUCAGGUCAGAAACAGAAUGACACACAAACACAAGAAACUUCACAGGCAGAUCAACAUGCAAUUUGAAGAUGUGUGAUAAAAUACAAAGAGGUGAAGUAGUGUGUCUUUCCAGAUGCCCAAAUCAUUCCCCCUUAAAAGAUGAGCCCGAAGAGGAGAUUUGGGAAGAUGCUGUUUCAUAAGUCGCUUUGCCAGAUCACCUGUGGUCGGGAUGUCUGCUAACAAGAUGCCUUGCUGGUCUGAGCGAGUUUAAAGUCUUACACAGACAGUCCAGAAGUUCUGAAGUCCAUCUUCGAUUUCAUUGAUGCUGUCAUCGUAUUAAGUACAGCAUGAGCCAGAAUAGAUGGGUGGUGGUGGCCAUAAGAAGACUGUCAACUAAACCAACAACAAAAUUCAUAUUUGCAGUUUUUCUUGAAUAAAGUUUUUCUAUUCAGAUUAAUAAAAUGACUUUUAAACAUGA